rnacentral:rRNA from 1 species
AUUGAACGCUGGCGGCAGGCUUAACACAUGCAAGUCGAACGAGUGGCGGACGGGUGAGUAAUGCUUGGGAAUCUAGCUUAUGGAGGGGGAUAACUACGGGAAACUGUAGCUAAUACCGCGUACCAUAGGAUGAGCCCAAGUGGGAUUAGGUAGUUGGUGCGGUAAAGGCUCACCAAGCCGACGAUCUCUAGCUGGUCUGAGAGGAUGACCAGCCACACUGGGACUGAGACACGGCCCAGACUCCUAAGGGAGGCAGCAGUGGGGAAUAUUGCACAAUGGGCGCAAGCCUGAUGCAGCCAUGCCGCGUGUAUGAAGAAGGCCUUCGGGUGGUAAAGUACUUUCAGCGGGGAGGCGUUACCAACAGAAGAAGCACCGGCUAACUUCGUGCCAGCAGCCGCGGUAAUUC